rnacentral:rRNA from 1 species
UGCCUGUUUUUUCAAAAACAUUUCUUUUAGGUUAAUUUUUAAAGGUAGGUUCUGCUCAAUGAUUUAUAUUUUAAAUAGCUGCAGUAUAUUGACUGUACAAAGGUAGCAUAAUAAUUAGUUUAUUAAUUGUAAACUGGAAUGAAUGAAUAUAUGAAAUGCUUGUUUUAUUUAUUUUAAAAUUAAAAUUUUAUUUUUAUGUUAAAAAGCUUAAUUAAUUUUUAGGGACGAUAAGACCCUAUAGAGGUUUAAUUUUAAUUUUAUGUUUGAAUUUUUUUUUAUUAUUAUUUAAUAUAUUUUUUUAAGAUUUUUUCUGGGGCGGAAGGUAAAUUUUAACUUUAUUUUUUUUAUUCAUUUAUUUAUGAUUUUUUUGAUCCUAAAGUUUGAUUAUAAGAAAUAGCUACCUUAGGGAUAACAGCGUAAUUUCAAUGGGGAGUUCUUAUUUAUAUUGAAGUUUGCGACCUCGAUGUUGAAUUAAGAUUAGAUUUUGGGGUAGUUUUUAAUUUUCUAAGUCUGUUCGACUUUUAAAUUCUUACAUGAUCUGAUU